UAACUGAAGAGUUUGAUCAUGGCUCAGAUUGAACGCUGGCGGCAGGCUUAACACAUGCAAGUCGAGCGGGGGAAGGUAGCUUGCUACUGGACCUAGCGGCGGACGGGUGAGUAAUGCUUAGGAAUCU
rnacentral:rRNA from 1 species